rnacentral:rRNA from 1 species
GCCUACGGGGGGCAGCAGUGGGGGAUAUUGCACAAUGGGGGGAACCCUGAUGCAGCGACGCCGCGUGGGUGAAGAAGCGCCCCGGCGCGUAAAGCCCUGUCAGCAGGGAAGAAGAAGGACGGUACCUGACCAAGAAGCCCCGGCUAACUACGUGCCAGCAGCCGCGGUAAUACGUAGGGGGCAAGCGUUAUCCGGAUUUACUGGGUGUAAAGCGAGUGCAGGCGGGCCAAGAA